rnacentral:rRNA from 1 species
AUUGAACGCUGGCGGCAGGCCUAACACAUGCAAGUCGAACGAGUGGCGGACGGGUGAGUAAUGUCUGGGAAACUGCCUGAUGGCGGGGGAUAACUACUGGAAACGGUAGCUAAUACCGCAUACCAUCGGAUGUGCCCAGAUGGGAUUAGCUAGUAGGUGGGGUAAAGGCUCACCUAGGCGACGCUCCCUAGCUGGUCUGAGAGGAUGACCAGGCAUAAUGGACCUGAGACAGGGGCAAGACUCAUACGGGAGGCAGCAGUGGGGAAUAGUGCACAAUGGUCGCAAGCCUGAUGCAGCCAGGCCGCGUGUAGGAAGAAGGCCUUCGGGUUGUAAAGGACUUUCAGCGGGGAGGCGUUACCCGCAGACGAAGCACCGGCUAACUCCGUGCCAGCAGCCGCGGUAAUUC